AUUGAACGCUGGCGGCAUGCCUUACACAUGCAAGUCGAACGGCAGCACGGGUGCUUGCACCUGGUGGCGAGUGGCGAACGGGUGAGUAAUACAUCGGAACAUGUCCUGUAGUGGGGGAUAGCCCGGCGAAAGCCGGAUUAAUACCGCAUACGAUCUACGGAUGAAAGCGGGGGACCUUCGGGCCUCGCGCUAUAGGGUUGGCCGAUGGCUGAUUAGCUAGUUGGUGGGGUAAAGGCCUACCAAGGCGACGAUCAGUAGAUGGUCUGAGAGGACGACCAGCCACACUGGGACUGAGACACGGCCCAGACUCCUACGGGAGGCAGCAGUGGGGAAUUUUGGACAAUGGGCGAAAGCCUGAUCCAGCAAUGCCGCGUGUGUGAAGAAGGCCUUCGGGUUGUAAAGCACUUUUGUCCGGAAAGAAAUCCUUGGCUCUAAUACAGUCGGGGGAUGACGGUACCGGAAGAAUAAGCACCGGCCAACUACGUG
rnacentral:rRNA from 1 species